AUUGAACGCUGGCGGCAGGCCUAACACAUGCAAGUCGAGCGAGCGGCGGACGGGUGAGUAAUGUAUGGGGAUCUGCCCGAUCGAGGGGGAUAACUACUGGAAACGGUGGCUAAAUCCGCAUACUAUCGUAUGAACCGAUAUGGGAUUAGCUAGUAGGUGGGGUAUAGGCUCACCUAGGCGACGAUCUCUAGCUGGUCUGAGAGGAUGAUCAGCCACACUGGGACUGAGACACGGCCCAGACUCCUACGGGAGGCAGCAGUGGGGAAUAUUUGACAAUGGGCGAAAGCCGGAUGCAGCCAUGCCGCGUGUGUGAAGAAGGCCUUAGGGUUGUAAAGUACUUUAAUCGGGGAGGCGUUACCCGAAGAAGAAGCAACGGCUAACUCCGUGCCAGCCGCCGCGGUAAUAC
rnacentral:rRNA from 1 species